rnacentral:rRNA from 1 species
UACGGGGGGGGCAAGCGUUGUUCGGAAUUACUGGGCGUAAAGAGCUCGUAGGCGGCCCGCUAAGUCGAACGUGAAAUCCCCGAGCUCAACUCGGGAACUGCGUCCGAUACUGGCGGGCUUGAAUCCGGGAGAGGGAUGCGGAAUUCCAGGUGUAGCGGUGAAAUGCGUAGAUAUCAGGAGGAACACCGAUGGCGAAGGCAGAUCUCUGGGCCGUAACUGACGCUGGAGGAGCGAAAGCAUGGGGAGCGAACAGG